AUUGAACGCUGGCGGCAGGCCUAACACAUGCAAGUCGAGCGGAAACGAAGAGGUGCUUGCACCUCUGGCGUCGAGCGGCGGACGGGUGAGUAAUGCUUGGGAAUAUGCCUUAUGGUGGGGGACAACAGUUGGAAACGACUGCUAAUACCGCAUGAUGUCUACGGACCAAAGUGGGGGACCUUCGGGCCUCACGCCAUAAGAUUAGCCCAAGUGGGAUUAGCUAGUUGGUGAGGUAAUGGCUCACCAAGGCGACGAUCCCUAGCUGGUUUGAGAGGAUGAUCAGCCACACUGGGACUGAGACACGGCCCAGACUCCUACGGGAGGCAGCAGUGGGGAAUAUUGCACAAUGGGCGCAAGCCUGAUGCAGCCAUGCCGCGUGUGUGAAGAAGGCCUUCGGGUUGUAAAGCACUUUCAGUAAGGAGGAAAGGUUAAGUGUUAAUAGCACUUAGCUGUGACGUUACUUACAGAAGAAGCACCGGCUAACUCCGUGCCAGCAGCCGCGGUAAUACGGAGGGUGCGAGCGUUAAUCGGAAUUACUGGGCGUAAAGCGUACGCAGGCGGUUUGUUAAGCGAGAUGUGAAAGCCCCGGGCUCAACCUGGGAACUGCAUUUCGAACUGGCAAACUAGAGUGUGAUAGAGGGUGGUAGAAUUUCAGGUGUAGCGGUGAAAUGCGUAGAGAUCUGAAGGAAUACCGAUGGCGAAGGCAGCCACCUGGGUCAACACUGACGCUCAUGUACGAAAGCGUGGGGAGCAAACAGG
rnacentral:rRNA from 1 species